UAGGGAAUCUUCGGCAAUGGGCGAAAGCCUGACCGAGCAACGCCGCGUGAAUGAUGAAGGCCUUAGGGUUGUAAAAUUCUGUUAUAAGGGAAGAACGACUUUAGUAGGAAAUGGCUAGAGUGUGACGGUACCUUAUGAGAAAGCCACGGCUAACUACGUGCCAGCAGCCGCGGUAAUACGUAGGUGGCGAGCGUUAUCCGGAAUUAUUGGGCGUAAAGAGCGCGCAGGUGGUUGAUUAAGUCUGAUGUGAAAGCCCACGGCUUAACCGUGGAGGGUCAUUGGAAACUGGUCAACUUUAGUGCAGAAGAGGGAAGUGGAAUUCCAUGUGUAGCGGUGAAAUGCUUAGAGAUAUGGUGGAACACCAGUGGCGAAGGCGGCUUCCUGGUCUGUAACUGACACUGAGGCGCGAAAGCGUGGGGAGCAAACA
rnacentral:rRNA from 1 species